GUGCUUACUCUGGAUAUAAUAUGUUGUGUGGGAGGAGAACUUCAAAUGCACAAAAACUCACUUGGAUGUACCUUAAGGUAUUUAAAGUAUAUUUGUUCACUUAAUUUAAUGUGUUUCACUCAUUCAUUUAAUACAUUUAUUUUCACAUGCAGUCCAACAGGCAACCUCAAAAUUAUGAGUGCGGUUAUUAUGUUAUGCAGUGUGAACCGCCCUGGUAGUCGGAAAUGAUGACGUGGCAUCAAGCUAUGGUAUCGGCGUGUUGACAAGACGCCAGGUUGGCAGAAGGAAAAGAAGUCGGGGGGCUCGUGAAGUCGC
rnacentral:lncRNA from 1 species